GAGACAAGCAUAUGACUACUGGCAGGAUCAACCAGGUAGCAUUCCUUCACGACGCCGACGCCCGCAUGAGCGCCCCGAGCCGCGAGGUCGAGGGCUGGAAGACGAGCGCGGCGGUCGUUCGUGUCAUUGGACAAAAUGCGUUGCUUGGGCAAAAGGAGGCCGAGAAACCACCCACCCGCGCAUAACAUUCUACAUCCGAGAGCACGGGCAAAGCACCUCGUGGGCCGAGGCAGCCACGCAAUUGGGCGAGGCGUGCCAAGAACACGAGGGUUGCCUAACGUCCACCCCAACACCCGCGAGGGCAUGGGGCAGAGAGGAACAAACAGACCGUCGAAUUCCUUCGGGUAGGUAA
rnacentral:misc_RNA from 1 species